rnacentral:rRNA from 1 species
CAGCCCUAAACGAUGCGCGUUAGGUGUAUCGGUGACCACGAGUCACCGAGGUGCCGAAGGGAAACCGUGAAACGUGCCGCCUGGGAAGUACGGUCGCAAGGCUGAAACUUAAAGGAAUUGGCCGGGGGGAGCACCACAACGGGUGGAGCCUGCGGUUUAAUUGGACUCAACGCCGGGAAGCUCACCGGAUAAGACAGCGGAAUGAUUGCCGGGCUGAAGACCCUGCAUGACCAGCUGAGAGGUGGUGCAUGGCGUAGACGUCU